UACAGAGGAGCCAAGCGUUGUCCGGAUUGACGGGGCGUAAAGCGCGCGUAGGCGGCUUUGUAAGUUAGAGGUGAAAGCCUGGAGCUCAACUUCAGAAUUGCCUUUAAGACUGCAUCGCUUGAAUCCGGGAGAGGUGAGUGGAAUUCCGAGUGUAGAGGUGAAAUUCGUAGAUAUUCGGAAGAACACCAGUGGCGAAGGCGGCUCACUGGACCGGCAUUGACGCUGAGGUGCGAAAGCGUGGGGAGCAAACAGG
rnacentral:rRNA from 1 species